rnacentral:rRNA from 1 species
UACGGAGGGUGCAAGCGUUAUCCGGAUUCACUGGGUUUAAAGGGUGCGUAGGCGGGCAGGUAAGUCAGUGGUGAAAUCUCAGAGCUUAACUCUGAAACUGCCAUUGAUACUAUCUGUCUUGAAUGUUCUGGAGGUGAGCGGAAUAUGUCAUGUAGCGGUGAAAUGCUUAGAUAUGACAUAGAACACCAAUUGCGUAGGCAGCUCACUACGGAAAUAUUGACGCUGAGGCACGAAAAGCGUGAGGAUCAAACAGG